rnacentral:rRNA from 1 species
GACGAAGGUGGCGAGCGUUGUUCGGAAUCACUGGGCAUAAAGCGCACGUAGGCGGUGACGUAAGUCGGGUGUGAAAUCCCUCGGCCUAACCGAGGAACUGCGCCCGAUACUGCGUUGCUUGAGGACCAGAGGGGUGCAUGGAAUUCCGGUGGAGCGGUGAAAUGCGUUGAUAUCGGAAGGAACUCCGGCGGCGAAAGCGAUGCACUGGCUGGUUUCUGACGGCUGAGGU